rnacentral:rRNA from 1 species
GGUUUGAGAGGAUGAUCCGCCACACUGGGACUGAGACACGGCCCAGACUCCUACGGGAGGCAGCAGUGGGGAAUUUUGGACAAUGGGCGCAAGCCUGAUCCAGCCAUGCCGCGUGUCUGAAGAAGGCCUUCGGGUUGUAAAGGACUUUUGUCCGGGAGCAAAUCCCAGUGGUUAAUACCUACUGGGGCUGAGAGUACCGGAAGAAUAAGCACCGGCUAACUACGUGCCAGCAGCCGCGGUAAUACGUAGGGUGCAAGCGUUAAUCGGAAUUACUGGGCGUAAAGCGUGCGCAGGCGGUUGUGCAAGUCUGAUGUGAAAGCCCCGGGCUUAACCUGGGAACGGCAUUGGAGACUG